GUCUGGGACUGGGAGGGACAAGGUCGUUUUACAAAGACAGAUGGAGAACGGAGCAGUGAGUCAGGAGAAGCACCUUGCACAGUGGAAGGCUGGGCUCCGGGUUUGCUCCAGAAAAGGAGGAGGAGCAUGGAUAAAGCACAGAGAGGUUUCAAGCAGAGUGGCAACUCCCUGAAUAAUGUGCUUGGAUACAAUACGAUCGUGACGACAGAAAGCUGUGAAGCCGUGAGUCACAUUUUACGUGUUCAUUAAAG
rnacentral:lncRNA from 1 species